rnacentral:rRNA from 1 species
AUGGCCGAGAUGGUGGUAAGCAUGGCGAGGUCCAUGCUGGGGGGCGCCAUCAGCAAGGCCGCUUCUGCCGCGGCCGCCGAGCUGAGCUUGGUGAUGGGUGUGCAGAAGGAUAUCUGGUUCAUCAAAGACGAGCUAAAGACGAUGCAGGCAUUCUUGGGAGGUGCUGAAGCAACGAAGAAUAGAGACAUGCUGCUGAAGGUGUGGGCAGAGCAAGUAAGGGAUCUGUCCUACAAUAUCGAAGAUUGCCUUGAUGAAUUUAUGGUCCAUGUGAGGAGUCAAAGCCUGAGGAAACGUCUUAUGAAGCUCAAAGAUCGUCGUAGGAUUGCUAUCCAAAUUCGCAACCUGAAAACAAGAGUUGAAGAAGUGAGCAGCAGGAAUGCACGCUACAAUUUGAUCAAGAUAGAGGCCUCAAUGACCAGUGAUAAGGAGGUUUCUUGCAUAGAAGAUGUACGUAAUCACUCGGCAAGCAACACUGAUGAAGCAGAACUUGUGGGCUUUAGGAAGCCUAGAGAGGAGUUGAUUAAGCUGAUGGAUGUCAACACUAGAGAUGGUGAUGCCAAAGUUAUAUGUGUCGUCGGCAUGGGCGGUUUAGGCAAGACUACUCUAGCAAGAAAAAACUUACGAAAGCAACUUCUCGGUGGAGAUUCGCUGAAGAACUUGUUGAAAGAACUUGAAGGGAAGGUGGUACAAGCAAAGGACCUCGCCGAGUACCUCAAUAAGGAGAUUAAGGAUAAGAGGUACCUUAUUAUUCUUGAUGACUUGUGGACAAUAGAUAUAUGGAGGUGGAUUAAAGAUAUUGUUUUUCCUAAUAGUAACAAGAAAGGUAGUCGGAUAAUAGUAACAACACGUGAUGUUGGCUUAGCAAAGGAAUGUACUAUUGAAUCCCUUGUCUACCACCUUAAAACCUUGGAGGUAGUCGAGGCCACAAAUUUGCUACUAAAAAAGAGUAGGAAAAUAUAUGAAGACAUGGACAAAGAUGAAAACUUCAAGAGCAUAGUUGAAAAACUAGUUAAAAAGUGUGGUUGUUUACCACUGGCCAUACUUGCAAUUGGAGGGAUCCUUGCCACUAAAAAGAUAGUAGAGUGGGAGCACGUCUAUAACCAACUCCCAUCUGAGCUUGAGAGUAACCCAAGCCUUGAAGCUAUGAAGAUGAUGGUUACUUUGAGUUUUUCAGUUAAUUAG